UGGGGAAUUUUGGACAAUGGGCGCAAGCCUGAUCCAGCUAUUCCGCGUGCGGGAAGACGGCCUUCGGGUUGUAAACCGCUUUAGUGGAGGACGAAAAGCGCAGGUAGGACAAUGACGUGCGUGCUGACGGUACUCCAAGAAUAAGCACCGGCUAACUACGUGCCAGCAGCCGCGGUAAUACGUAGGGUGCGAGCGUUAAUCGGAAUUACUGGGCGUAAAGGGUGUGCAGGCGGUUCGAUAAGACAGAGGUGAAAUCCCCGGGCUUAACCUGGGAGGGUCCUAUGUGACUGUCGGACUAGAGUGUCUCAGAGGGGGGUGGAAUUCCACGUGUAGCAGUGAAAUGCGUAGAUAUGUGGAAGAACACCGAAGGCGAAGGCAGCCCCCUGGGAGGCCACUGACG
rnacentral:rRNA from 1 species